rnacentral:rRNA from 1 species
UUAGAGUUUKKWUCAUGKCUCAGGACGAACGCUGGCGGCGUGCGUAAUACAUGCAAGUCGAACGAACUCUGGUAUUGAUUGGUGCUUGCAUCAUGAUUUACAUUUGAGUGAGUGGGCGAACUGGUGAGUAACACGUGGGAAACCUGCCCAGAAGCGGGGGAUAACACCUGGAAACAGAUGCUAAUACCGCAUAACAACUUGGACCGCAUGGUCCGAGUUUGAAAGAUGGCUUCGGCUAUCACUUUUGGAUGGUCCCGCGGCGUAUUAGCUAGAUGGUGGGGUAACGGCUCACCAUGGCAAUGAUACGUAGCCGACCUGAGAGGGUAAUCGGCCACAUUGGGACUGAGACACGGCCCAAACUCCUACGGGAGGCAGCAGUAGGGAAUCUUCCACAAUGGACGAAAGUCUGAUGGAGCAACGCCGCGUGAGUGAAGAAGGGUUUCGGCUCGUAAAACUCUGUUGUUAAAGAAGAACAUAUCUGAGAGUAACUGUUCAGGUAUUGACGGUAUUUAACCAGAAAGCCACGGCUAACUACGUGCCAGCAGCCGCGGUAAUACGUAGGUGGCAAGCGUUGUCCGGAUUUAUUGGGCGUAAAGCGAGCGCAGGCGGUUUUUUAAGUCUGAUGUGAAAGCCUUCGGCUCAACCGAAGAAGUGCAUCGGAAACUGGGAAACUUGAGUGCAGAAGAGGACAGUGGAACUCCAUGUGUAGCGGUGAAAUGCGUAGAUAUAUGGAAGAACACCAGUGGCGAAGGCGGCUGUCUGGUCUGUAACUGACGCUGAGGCUCGAAAGUAUGGGUAGCAAACAGGAUUAGAUACCCUGGUAGUCCAUACCGUAAACGAUGAAWRMURAGUGUUGGAGGGUUUCCGCCCUUCAGUGCUGCAGCUAACGCAUWAAGCWWUUCCCSSU